UACGGAGGGUGCAAGCGUUAUCCGGAUUUACUGGGUUUAAAGGGUGUGUAGGCGGGCUUUUAAGUCAGUGGUGAAAUCUCCGGGCUCAACCUGGAAACUGCCAUUGAUACUAUUAGUCUUGAAUAUUGUUGAGGUAGGCGGAAUAAGUCAUGUAGCGAUGAAAUGCAUAGAUAUGACUUAGAACACCAAUUGCGAAGGCAGCUUGCUAAACAAUGAUUGACGCUGAGGCACGAAAGCGUGGGGAUCAAACAGG
rnacentral:rRNA from 1 species